rnacentral:misc_RNA from 1 species
GAAAUGCGAUACGUAAUGCGAAUUGCAGAAUUCAGUGAAUCAUCAAAUUCUUGAACGCAAAUUGCGCUUUCGGGAUAGCCCUGGAAGCACGCUUCUUUGAGUAUCGGUUCACCCCACCCUCGGCGGCGUCGCCCUAAAAAAGCGAACGCGCAGCCGGAAAAUGAGCGUCACAGCCAGAGUGUGCACUAUGUGGCUGCGUCGCUUCAAGCACAGAGCGCCAAUUACCAAGCUCAAGUUCAGCCGUCCUUACCAGGAUGAACAAUGGGUACACACCCCAAAUUUGCUCAUCACACCAAACUGGUACAGGGCGGUUUGAGCCUUGGUUACAAAAAGCGCGUUUGGAAUUAACGGGAGGGCGGGUCUUCGGGCCCGCACUUCCCACCUCGAAAUAGAUCUCAGA